UCCCGAGUGGACGCGGCCAGGGCGUGGGUCUCUGAGAACGAGGUUUGCAGUCCGGAAAAGUAAAGACACGUACAAGUUAUGGAGACAAACGUGUCCUUACUAAGCUCUUCUAGAAUGGACGGAUACCGCCCUCCCCACACACCUCACAUCUCCAUAGCCACCCUCUCACAUGGUAGGUGCCUCACACACCGAGCGCGCUUAUUGGAUGAACGAUGGCAUGGUUGGAGGCUGAGGGAGUAUCGCGAAAUACGUCAGUGCCUCACGUUCAAAGAAUUCACACGCCACUCGUUUGUGGGAACCUUCUGGGGUUGUGGCUUCAAAAGAACACCUUAAGCAAGCCAAGCAGAGGUCACUGAAGAAUUUCACACACAGGACAUGGUUUAACGAGUCUGUUUAAAAGGAAUACUGAAGAGCAACAGACGGCGUCAACACCCUUAUAAAUUUACUGCCUCCAGGAUCCUGCUUUGAAUUCCUGCCCUGGCUCCUCUUAGAGAUGUAAGCUGGAAUGCCUGCCUCCAAGUUGCUUUGCACUCAGGAGGUAGAGGCAGAUGGAUCUCAGUGAGUUCGAGUUCAACCUGAUCCACAGACCUAGUUCCAGGACAGCCAUGGCUACACAGAGAAACCCUGUUUCAAAAACAAACAAAAAGAAAGCAGGCUGAAUAAGCCCUACUCAGCAAUCCUGUAAGCAGCACUCCUCCAUGGCCUCUUCAUCAGCCCUGCCCUGUUGGGGGUUCCUGCCCUGGCUUCCUUCAGUGAUGCACUUAGAUGUGGAAAUGUAAGCCAAAUAAAUCCUUUCCUCCCCUACUUGCUCUUUGGUCAUAGUGUUUCAUUGUAGCUAUAGAAACCCUAACCUGACCAAAGCUGAGUUGAUGUCUGAUCCUUAUUGGGAGCUAAGUCUUCAUGGAGGCUGGUUUAUUCUCUAAUCCACCUAGGUAAGUAUGGUCCUUAAGAGUCCCAACCAAAAGUCACAGGUAUCCAUCUCUUUUCAACCCCAUGAGACAGCCAAAGCUCUACUCAGUGUCUUAGCCAUUGCUUGUAGAAUCAGCAGUCAAGGCAGGCUCAGAAAAGCAAUGGGAAAUGUAAGGCUCUUUUCCAUAUUUUGCACUACCUUCAUACCUCUUCAUUAAUGUUUUUAGUAUUUUCCCUGUUGCUUUUUUGUUUUUGGUGGUGGAAUGGAGAAGCAAGUGCCCUUAUCCAUUGAGCCACCUCUCCAGCCCCAGGACACUGAAUCUUUAAUAUCAUUAGAUGUGGUAGGAGAAUUCUAAAAUAACCCCAUGAUCUCUGAUUCUUGGUGCUGCCCUGUAUAAUCCCCACCACUUGAUGUCUAUAGGACCCUUACUUAUUCCUAGUCAACAGAUAGAACUGGAAAGUGGGAAGACUUCCUGUGCUAACAUUCAUUAUGUAAUACUUCAUAUAUUAUGAAACUAAAAAUUUUUUGCUGGCCUUAAAGAAACAAGACUUGCCUAUAAAAGGCCACCUGCUAGGAGCU
rnacentral:lncRNA from 1 species